rnacentral:rRNA from 1 species
AUUGAACGCUGGCGGCAUGCUUUACACAUGCAAGUCGAACGGCAGCGCGGGGGCAACCCUGGCGGCGAGUGGCGAACGGGUGAGUAAUGUAUCGGAACGUAUCCUGUAAUGGGGGGAUAACCCAGUCGAAAGAUUGGGUAAUACCGCAUACGCACGAGAGUGGAAAGUAGGGGAUCGCAAGACCUUACGUUAUAGGAGCGGCCGAUAUCUGAUUAGCUAGUUGGUGGGGUAAAGGCCUACCAAGGCGACGAUCAGUAGCUGGUCUGAGAGGACGACCAGCCACACUGGGACUGAGACACGGCCCAGACUCCUACGGGAGGCAGCAGUGGGGAAUUUUGGACAAUGGGCGAAAGCCUGAUCCAGCCAUGCCGCGUGCAGGAAGAAGGCCUUCGGGUUGUAAACUGCUUUAGUCUAGGAAAAAAGGGGUGCGAGGUUAAUACCCUCGUGCUUUGAUGGUACUGGAAGAAUAAGCACCGGCUAACUACGUG